GCCUCGGUAGCUCAAUUGGCUAGAGCGUGGGACUUUUACAAAAACCUGGAAAAUUGGAAAUAAUUCAUUCUCCUAGAUUCUAAGUAAUCCCAAGGUUGCGGGUUCGACCCCCGCCUGAGGCG